rnacentral:rRNA from 1 species
AAUUUUAAGGUCAAGCUACAAAGGGCGCAUGGUGAAUGCCUUGGCACUAGGAGCCGAAGAAGGACGCGAUAAGCUGCGAUAAGCCUUGGGUAGCCGCAAAUAGGCUGAGAUCCAGGGAUUUCCGAAUGAGGAAACUCACAUGGGUAACCCCAUGUAUCAUGCACUGAAUACAUAGGUGUAUGAGGGUAAACCCGGGGAACUGAAACAUCUAAGUACCCGGAGGAAGAGAAAGAAAAAUCGAUUUCCUAAGUAGCGGCGAGCGAACGGGAAAGAGCCCAAACCAGAAACUUGUUUCUGGGGUUGUGGAUAGAUCAUAAAAGAAGAGGUAUCUUAAUCGAAGAGGGCUGGAACGCCCUACCAUAGAAGGUAAUAGUCCUGUAGAUAAAAAGAGAAAACUUUAAGAUCUAAUCCAGAGUACCACGAGACACGUGAAACCUUGUGGGAAGCAGGGAGGACCACCUCCCAAGGCUAAAUACUACCUAGUGACCGAUAGUGAAGCAGUACCGUGAGGGAAAGGUGAAAAGAAC